rnacentral:tRNA from 1 species
GGCGGCGUAGCCAAGGGGCCUAAGGCAGGGGAUUGCAAAUCCCCCAUCCCCGGUUCAAAUCCGGGCGCCGCCU